rnacentral:rRNA from 1 species
AUACGUAGGUGGCGAGCGUUGUCCGGAUUUACUGGGUGUAAAGGGUGCGUAGGCGGGUUAUCAAGUUGGGUGUGAAACCUCCGUGCUUAACACGGAGCCUGCAUUCAAAACUGGUAAUCUUGAGUGAGGUAGAGGUAGAUGGAAUUCCCGGUGUAGCGGUGAAAUGCGUAGAGAUCGGGGGGAACACCAGUGGCGAAGGCGGUCUACUGGGCCUUAACUGACGCUGAGGCACGAAAGCAUGGGUAGCAAACAGGAUUAGAUACCCUGGUAGUCCAUGCUGUAAACGAUGAUUGCUAGGUGUGGGUGGACUGACCCCAUCCGUGCCGGAGUCAACACAAUAAGCAAUCCACCUGGGGAGUACGGCCGCAAGGUUAAA